rnacentral:lncRNA from 1 species
ACAGAGCAGCUGGACAUGGGGGAGCUUGCAGCGUCAGCAAAUCAUGGACACUCACCCUGCUACCCAGAGAGAAAAGGGACCCCUGGAGACUUGAGCAAAAGAAAAAUGCUGGUACAUUUUUACCCCAGGAGGCACAGCCACCCCAGAGCCACACAGCAAUGGAUACUUAAGAAUAAGACACAAGAAGGUAGCCACCUGCAAACCAAAAGGAGAGUCCUUUCCAGACCCUGGAUCUGCUGGCACCCAGAUCUUGGACUUCCAGCCUCCAGAACCAUGAGAAAUUGA